rnacentral:rRNA from 1 species
GGGAGCGUAGGCGGGACCGUAAGUUAGGAGUUUAAUUCCCAGGCUUAACCUGGGGCUGGCUUUUAAUACUGCGGUUCUUGAGUAUGGAAGAGGGAGAUGGAAUUCCAGGUGUAGCGGUGGAAUGCGUAGAUAUCUGGAAGAACACCAGUAGCGAAGGCGGUCUCCUGGUCCAAUACUGACGCUGAGGCUCGAAAGUUAGGGGAGCAAACAGGAUUAGAUACCCUGGUAGUCCUAACCGUAAACUAUGGAUACUAGAUGUUGGGGGAGUCAAUCUUUCCAGCGUCGUCGCUAACGCAUUAAGUAUCCCGCCUGGGGAGUACGCCCGCAAGGGUGAAACUCAAAGGAAUUGACGGGGGCCCGCACAAGCGGUGGAGCAUGUGCUUUAAUUCGAUGCAACGCGAAGAACCUUACCUGGGUUUGACAUGGGAGUGACUGUUUCCAGAGAUGGGAGCUUUUCCGCAAGGAACACUCUACACAGGUGCUGCAUGGUUGUCGUCAGCUCGUGUCGUGAGAUGUUAGGUUAAGUCCUGCAACGAGCGCAACCCUCGCCCUUAGUUGCCAUCAGGUCAAGCUGGGAACUCUAAGGGGACCGCCUAGUUUAACUAGGAGGAAGGUGGGGAUGACGUCAAAUCAUCAUGGCCCUUACGUCCAGGGCAAGACACGUGCUACAAUGGCCGGUACAAUGGGAUGCUAGACUGCGAAGUUACGCUAAUCCCACAAAACCGGUCUCAGUUCGGAUUGGAGUCUGCAAUUCGACUCCAUGAAGCUGGAAUCGCUAGUAAUCGUGGAUCAGCAUGCCACGGUGAAUACGUUCCCGGGCCUUGUACACACCGCCCGUCAAGCCAUGAAAGAUGGCAGUACCCAAUGUCGCUUCUCUAACUCGCAAGAGAAGAGUGCGCCUAAGGUAAGGCCAUUGAUUGGGGCUAAGUCGUAACAAGGUA